rnacentral:lncRNA from 1 species
CGGCGGUGGAGGUGGAGGUGGUUAUGGUGGCAACUCAGGUUAUCAACAACCUAUAUACCACCAAGGAGGCGGCUGUAAUACAUGCGGAGGCUAUGGGGGCGGUAGCCAGGCUUCAGCGACGGCUACUGCGACUGCCACAGCGACAGCGAACGCCGGAUCUUACGGAUACGGAAAACGCUAAGAACCGCCAGUUGUUGUUCCAGUGAACUGUGAUUGUGAUGUUAAGACUUUGUGAUAAUUGACCAGAACUUACAAGCCCGUGGACCAAGGAAGACUGGCAAGAACCAAGAUAACAAAAAAAUAAUUAACCAUAAUAUUUACACCAUUUUUUGUUAAAAUAGAUUUUUUGACACAUGCUUUUGCUGACAUUGUAAUAAUUAGUAAUUUUUUUGGAUCUGAACCAAUAUGAUUAUGAGUAUUUGUUUUAAAAUUUUGCUCAACUUACUGCAACAAUCAAUUUUACUUACCAAGUCCUUAUUAGAAUUGCUUAUUUUUGUAAGCAUUUGGAAAUAAGCUUGCGCUUGCAAUACUUAUGUAAGUUUGUUAUAAAUAAAGACUAGAAUUAUUUA